GGAUUUGAAAGCAAUCUGGCUGUGGUAUGCGUUGCUCUGUUCUCUGGAGUUUCUUUAGCUGAUCUGGCUGGUGAGGUGAGGGUUCCCCUUCUCCACUCAUUGCUCUAUGUGUUUGGGACCUGAAGUUCAGCGCUGGGUAAAACAUGAUUUCCAGUUUCAGGAUGGGUUGUUCUUACUGGGUUAGGUGUUCUCUAGCUAGAACCUCCAAGUAAGUUUGAGAAACUAAAAAAACAAAAAAACAAUAACCCUUCCAUUCUCUCAAAGCAAGAAGAGAGAGAGACAG
ensembl:misc_RNA 7SK 7SK RNA